UACGGGGGGGGCAAGCGUUGUUCGGAAUUACUGGGCGUAAAGGGCUCGUAGGCGGCCAACUAAGUCAUACGUGAAAUCCCUCGGCUUAACCGGGGAACUGCGUCUGAUACUGGAUGGCUUGAGUUCGGGAGAGGGAUGCGGAAUUCCAGGUGUAGCGGUGAAAUGCGUAGAUAUCAGGAAGAACACCAAUGGCGAAGGCAGCUCGCUGGAACGGUACUGACGCUGAGGCGCGAAAGCGUGGGGAGCAAACAGG
rnacentral:rRNA from 1 species